GCCGCUAUUAAAAAAAAACACAAAAAAGAGCGCCUGGUGCCUGUGGUGCGUCCCUAGACUUGAGUGUGUGGUGCGUCCCUAGACUUGAGUGUGUGGUGCGUCCCUAGACUCCGGGAUAGCACGGCCUUUUUGUCUUUGAUACAUCCCUACACCUAUCUACAUAACUGCUCAAGAUUCACGUCUACAUCGGUUUAGGUGCGCCCGGCUUGACGAGGUGGACAUUAAAGAAGAACUGUCAUGAAGGAGAAGCAGCAUUCCGACUUUGCAUCGCCAGUUUAUAAGAAAAGAUUCAGUAGGAGAACUACCACCCAACGACCAUUUAAGUUUGUUCGUAACAUUGAGUCUCAAGGGACUGCAAAAACCCAAGUUGUUGAACAGGUUGGCAGCAGAGGUGUUGUUAUAAGUUCUCCUGUCAACCUAAGUGAGCAUGGAGUGUCCAUCACAGACAUUGUUCAACAAAGUCCAGUUCCUGUCAUCAUUUCAUGUGGAGUUGAAUAUGACAAAGAAAGUAACAAAGCAGACAGCAAUGGAGAUGCAAGUAAUGCGUCCACACCACGACGCAGAACAGACGCAGGUAGUGUGUCCACACCACAAACCAGAGCAGAGGCAGAUGGUGUGUCUACACCUCGACGCAGCCAGCGCUCUCACCAGGCAUCAUUAGGCUUUCUUAGCCGCCUGCAGUACCCCCUCAAAACCCACCAGUUGACGAAGUUUCACUUCACCUCAGACAUGCUUCAUGCUGGGUCUCAGCCAGACAGUAACAUUGAUGAGGAGGUCCAUCUUAUGGACAGCGAGCAUGCAGCUAAACACCACCGUUCUCUCAGGCAAUCAGGCAAGUCUUCAGUGCAGAAGGUGACUACUGGGAAGAGUGCAUUUGAUGACAAGGCUGCUAGUUCAAGAUGUCAAACUUCCACAACUGCUGAUCCAUCUGCUGAGGAGAUGUAUAGCCCUAUCAGUAAUUCAGACACUGAGAAGUCUGUUGACAAGAGGACUUCUAUGAGAAGACCCCCACCUGCUGAAGGAUCAACUGCCAAGUAUACUUCUUCCACAUCUACUGUAGCAUUUGGUAAAAAAGUUGCCAGCAUCACUAAGCUCGACACAUCUGCACCAGCUGUGGCUGCCAGCGUAACCAGCCAGAGCCCAGAUCACACAGAGAGACUAAACACUUCCAAAAAAACAAGAUCAGCAGCACAGCCUUUCGAUUCAAUUAGUAGAUCAUCCAGAAGACUGUCUUUGACAGGAAAGUCAACUGGUGAAGAUGAUAACACUGAGACAGAUGAUAAGGAAGACUCUAAUAGUCACAUCUCUAUGGCCACAGACAAGUCAGAUUGUGUGUGGAGAGAUGAGUCGCCUUCUGGGACUGGCAGGGUCAGAGUUCGUAUUGCUCCUGGAUCUUUGGCAGGGGAUGUUGGCCAUGCUGGGAGAAGAGGACAAGGUAAAAGACACAAGAGAGUGGCCAUCCCCAAAGCACACAGCACACCAUGCAAAGAUAAUAAAUUUGUUUCCAAAGGGAAGAAACAACUGGCAUCUGUGACUGAAAAGACAGACAUAUUCCUUGAAGGGAGAUCUGCUGAUGAUGCAGAGAAACCAGAAGGUGGCUUUCUUAAAAUCAGCGGGAGGACAAGUCAUCAGGCAUCACACAUGAGAUCAGCGAUGGCAAAAAGUAGUAUGACCAUCCUGGCUGACAGGAAGAAAAGGCAAGUGUCUGCUGCUAGUCAUCAGAAGGAAAAACAAGCCAGGCUAAACAUCAGCAAUAGGAGAAGCCAGAAGGCAACAAGGCAGGAAAAGACUUUGACAUCUAUUUCUUCAGCUUCUAAGUCUCAGUCAUCCUCCCUUGGGAGGAGAAAACGAAAACAUAGCAUCAUGAGUGAUGAUGAUGUUCUGUCUUCAACCAGACAAAAAAAUGUUCAUAAUGAUCACAGCAAGUCUAUGCAGCAUGAGAACAGUGCAUCAUGUUCAAACCUACAGAAAGUGCCCCGCAGCACAAACAGAUAUAUGCUGCAGUCGGACACAACAUGGUCUUCAGUUUAUGAUGAUGAGACGUUUGGAGAACACACUGACCCUGAGCUGAAUGCAAGUGACAAAUUAACCAGGUCAAAUAAGGCCCAACAGUGGGUUCAGAGACAGCAACUGGCAAAAGUGCAUAAAAUCCAAGGGGAUAGCAUAACAAACAUGUUGGCAGAAACAGAGGCACAGGUCAUCAGCAGUGACCUGAUGUACCCGUUAGCAGAGAGAACAAUUCACAAGGCAUUUAAUUUUGUCAGAGGACAAAUGCAACAGAUGGCCCCAGGGUUCUGCACCAUACUACAGCACUGGUUGUACUUGUGCAUCAGAUAGUUUUUAAAACACUUCAAGACCUUAGGAUAUUACAGCAGAAAGAGACUCAGCAGUUGAAGGUACACGUUAACAAGCUGAAAGCACAGGUGAAGGGCCUUAGCCAGACCUCAAGAGAGUCUCAUCAGUUGAAGUUUCA
rnacentral:misc_RNA from 1 species